AUGGCUGAUGAUUUACAAAAAGCCUUGUUCUAUGGCUGCUUAUUUAUAGCUUUGUUCUUUUGUUUUAUGUUUACGCAGAAGCCUUGUUCGAUGGCUGUAGGAUUAGGUCUCAUUUUAUGAAACUAGACCAUGGAGAACAAUUGUAUGACUAUAGGUUUCAGUAAGUGUGUGUCCAUAAUUAAUUUUUUUUCCCAUUUUAUGUGCAGACAUAUUGCAGGCCAGAUUGACCCAAGACCCUGGACAGAGAAGACCGGCAGAAGUUUUGAUCACUUCCCUCAACAAACUUCUGGGAACUACUGUGGCAUCCUUAUACUCAUUUAUGCCCUCUGUAUCUGCACCAAUACCCCAUUUAUCUUCACAGAGAAUGAUGUGCCAUUAAUCCGCCAGUGGUGGUGCAUCCUACUGAUGGAAAGAUUUCAGAUUGAAGGACAUGGCCAGAGGUUUGCUUUCUGGACUGACAAGGCUAGCAGGCUAUUGCAAGGGACCCUUCAGCCACUUUUUAGGGUAUCUAGGUCAAUCACUUCAGACAUUCCACCUCAUGUGCAAACCAUGGUCAACCGCACAGCCCAAGAAAAGAAGCUGGUAGACUUUGCUGUACAAGACCAUGGAGUCCGGCAACAUUUGUUGGUAUGUUUGUCACACAUUAACAAUGUUUGUUAUUUACAAUUUGCACAUUGUUUUACCAUUACAGUGUUAUAAGCAAAUAAGCAAAAGGCCUUAUAAUUCAUGCUUGUUGUCACCAUGUGUUGGGGGACUUUUUUUUUUUUUU